rnacentral:rRNA from 1 species
UACGUAGGGUGCGAGCGUUGUCCGGAUUUAUUGGGCGUAAAGAGCUCGUAGGCGGUUUGUCGCGUCGGCCGGGAAAUCUCCACGCUUAACGUGGAGCGUGCGGUCGAUACGGGCAGACUUGAGUUCGGUAGGGGAGACUGGAAUUCCUGGUGUAGCGGUGAAAUGCGCAGAUAUCAGGAGGAACACCGGUGGCGAAGGCGGGUCUCUGGGCCGAUACUGACGCUGAGGAGCGAAAGCGUGGGGAGCGAACAGG